rnacentral:rRNA from 1 species
GAUGAACGCUGGCGGCGUGCCUAAUACAUGCAAGUCGAGCGAAUGGAUUAAGAGCUUGCUCUUAUGAAGUUAGCGGCGGACGGGUGAGUAACACGUGGGUAACCUGCCCAUAAGACUGGGAUAACUCCGGGAAACCGGGGCUAAUACCGGAUAACAUUUUGAACCGCAUGGUUCGAAAUUGAAAGGCGGCUUCGGUUGUCACUUAUGGAUGGACCCGCGUCGCAUUAGCUAGUUGGUGAGGUAACGGCUCACCAAGGCAACGAUGCGUAGCCGACCUGAGAGGGUGAUCGGCCACACUGGGACUGAGACACGGCCCAGACUCCUACGGGAGGCAGCAGUAGGGAAUCUUCUGCAAUGGACGAAAGUCUGACGGAGCAACGCCGCGUGAGUGAUGAAGGCUUUCGGGUCGUAAAACUCUGUUGUUGGGGAAGAACAAGUGCUAGUUGAAUAAGCUGGCACCUUGACGGUACCUAACCAGAAAGCCACGGCUAACUACGUGCCAGCAGCCGCGGUAA